rnacentral:rRNA from 1 species
AUGGUUGUCGUCAGCUCGUGCCGUGAGGUGUCGGGUUAAGUCCCAUAACGAGCGCAACCCCUAUCAUUAGUUGCCAUCAGGUCAAGCUGGGGACUCUAAUGAAACUGCCUACGCAAGUAGUGAGGAAGGUGGGGAUGACGUCAAAUCAGCACGGCCCUUACGUCCAGGGCUACACACGUGCUACAAUGGCCGGUACAAAGGGCAGCUACCUGGUGACAGGAUGCUAAUCUCAAAAAGCCGGUCUCAGUUCGGAUCGGAGUCUGCAACCCGAACUCCGUGAAGCUGGAAUCGCUAGUAAUCGCGCAUCAGCCAUGGCGCGGUGAAUACGUUCCCGGGCCUU